CAGAGUCCGUAACUAUAGCGACGGGAAGCUUGCACGUGUUUUCGAUGACCGUGUAAGAAUCCGCCCUGAAAAGAAGUCUUUGGCUUCCUGGGGAAGUACGGUUUACGCAAGUCUGAAACUUAAAGGAAUUGACGGAAGGGCACCACCAGGGGUGGAGCCUGCGGCUUAAUUUGACUCAACACGGGGAAACUCACCCGGCCCGGACACCGGAAGGAUUGACAGAUUGAGAGCUCUUUCUUGAUUCGGUGGGUGGUGGUGCAUGGCCGUUCUUAGUUGGUGGAGUGAUUUGUCUGCUUUAUUGCGAUAACGAGCGAGACUCUGGCCUGCUAACUAGUGUGCGGAUCUUCGAGUCCGCCCUACUUCUUAGAGGGACAAGCUGCGUUUAGCAGCAUGAAAAAGAGCAAUAACAGGUCUGUGAUGCCCUUAGAUGUCCGGGGCUGCACGCGCGCUACACUGAAGGAAUCAGCGUGUGGGACUGCCUGGCUCGAAAGAGUUGGGUAAUCCGGUGAAAAUCCUUCGUGAUUGGGAUCGGGACUUGCAAUUAUUUCCCUUGAACGAGGAAUCCCUAGUAAGCGUGAGUCAUAAGCUCGCGUUGAUUACGUCCCUGCCCUUUGUACACACCGCCCGUCGCUACUACCGAUUGAAUGAUUUAGUGAGGUCUUCGGACCGGCCGGCGAAGCUGCACUUCGGUGUGGCAUUGUUGUGCUGGGAAGAUGCCCAAACUUGAUCAUUUAGAGGAAGUAAAAGUCGUAACAAGGUUUCCGUAGUGAACCUGCGGAAGGAUCA
rnacentral:rRNA from 1 species